rnacentral:lncRNA from 1 species
UUGCUCUAAUAUCUACAUUUUUCCAGUUGGAAUAAAAGAUGCAGGGUCUUUUCUAAGAAUCUCGUUGUGUGAAGUCUAUAUGUCAGACUUGCAUUGUUAUCCUAGUCCAUAGACCUGAAAUCUAAGGAACUGGACACAGAGAAAGCCAACCAAUACACCAGAGAGCACUAAAUUUUAACGACUGGAUCACCAGAAAAGUAAUCAACUGAUCUAGAAAGAAGAUGUGUGGUGUGAAGCACAGACAGAAUCUAACGGAUUAGGAGGAGGCUGAGCAGGAGAAAUGGUUUGCCCCAAGGGAAGGAAGAAGAGAAAGAUGAAAAGGAGGAGGACAAGUAGGCUUGGGGA